rnacentral:rRNA from 1 species
UUAGAUUUUAUUUAUUAAUUUUAAUUUAUUUAAAUAAAAAAUAUUAAAAAUAAUUAUAAAUUUUAAAGUUUUAGUAUUGUUUAAAGAAAAAAUAAAUUUAAUAAUAGUUUAAUAGUAUUGUAAAAGAAAAUUGAAAUAAUUUGAAAAAUUUUUAUUAAAAAAGAAAAUUUAAUUUAUUGUACCUUGUGUAUCAGCGUUUAUUAAAUAAAAAAUAUUUAUAAGUAUUUUUCUCGAUUUUAAAAGAGUUAAUAUAAUAUAAAAGUUAAUGUGAUAAAAUUAUUUUGAAUAUUAUAUUAGAAAUGAAAUGUUAUUCGUUUUUAAAGGUAUCUAGUUUUUCAAGAAAUAAAUUUAAUUUAGAAAUUAUAAAUUUAUUUAAAAAAUUUUUUAAUUAAAUAAUUUAUAAUUUUAAUAUUUUAUGGGAUAAGCUAUAAAAUAAAUUUUUAAAAAUAAUAAAUAAAUUUAAUAAAUAUAUGCUUAGAAUUAGCAAUUAUUAAUAAAUAUGUUAUAAUUUAUUUUAUAAAAUAAAUUAUUUAUUAAAUUUUAAUUAUUUAUUGAAAUAUUAAUUUUAAUUUUUAAAAUUAAUUAAUAAUGAUAAAAUUAGUAUAUUUUAUUGUAAAAUAAAUUUAAAUGAUAAGUUAAAG